AUUGAACGCUGGCGGCAGGCCUAACACAUGCAAGUCGAACGAGUGGCGGAAGGGUGAGUACUGUCUGGGAAACUGACUGAUGGAGGGGGAUAAAUAGGGGAAAAGGUAGCUACUACCGCAUACCCACAGUUGUGCCCAGAUGGGAUUAGCUAGUAGGUGGGGUACUGGCUCACAUAGGCGACGAUCCCUAGCUGGUCUGAGAGGAUGACCAGCCACACUGGAACGGAGACACGGUCCCGCCUCCUACGGGAGGCAGCAGUGGGGAAUAUUGCACAAUGGGCGCAAGCCUGAUGCAGCCAUGCCGCGUGUAUGAAGAAGGCCUUCGGGUUGUAAAGUACUUUCAGCGAGGAGGCGUUACUCGCAGAAGAAGCACCGGCUAACUCCGUGCCAGCCGCCGCGGUAAUAC
rnacentral:rRNA from 1 species